AUUGAACGCUGGCGGCAGGCCUAACACAUGCAAGUCGAGCGGAUCGCCGGACGGGUGCGUAAUGCCUAGGAAUCUGCCUGGUAGUGGUGGAUAGCGUCCGGAACUGGGCGCUAAUACCGCUUACUAUCAGCAUAGCCUAGGUCGGAUUAGCUAGUUGGUGGGGUAAAGGCCUACCAAGGCGACGAUCCGUAACUGGUCUGAGAGGAUGAUCAGUCACACUGGAACUGAGACACGGUCCAGACUCCUACGGGAGGCAGCAGUGGGGAAUAUUGGACAAUGGGCGAAAGCCUGAUGCAGCCAUGCCGCGUGUGUGAAGAAGGUCUUCGGAUUGUAAAGCACUUUAAGUUGGGAGGCGUUACCAACAGAAUAAGCACCGGCUAACCUCGUGCCAGCAGCCGCGGUAAUUC
rnacentral:rRNA from 1 species